AACGAACGCUGGCGGCAUGCCUAACACAUGCAAGUCGAACGAGACCUUCGGGUCUAGUGGCGCACGGGUGCGUAACGCGUGGGAACCUGCCCUUAGGUUCGGAAUAACUCCCCGAAAGGGGUGCUAAUACCGGAUAAUGUCUUCGGACCAAAGAUUUAUCGCCUUUGGAUGGGCCCGCGUUGGAUUCGCUAGUUGGUAGGGUAAAAGCAUACCAAGGCGACGAUCGAUAGCUGGUCUGAGAGGAUGAUCAGCCACGCUGGGACUGAGACACGGCCCAGACUCCUACGGGAGGCAGCAGUGGGGAAUAUUGGACAAUGGGCGAAAGCCUGAUCCAGCAAUGCCGCGUGAGUGAUGAAGGCCUUAGGGUUGUAAAGCUCUUUUACCCGGGAUGAUAAUGACAGUACCGGGAGAAUAAGCACCGGCUAACUCCGUG
rnacentral:rRNA from 1 species